GAUGAACGCUGGCGGCGUGCUUAACACAUGCAAGUCGAACGAGAAGUGGAGACGGAAACCUUCGGGCGGAAGACUUUACUUCGAGUGGCGGACGGGUGAGUAACGCGUGGGUAACCUGCCUCAUACAGGGGGAUAACAGUUGGGAACGACUGUUAAUACCGCAUAAGACCACAGCACCGCAUGGUGCGGGGGUAAAAACUCCGGUGGUAUGAGAUGGACCCGCGUUCGAUUAGCCAGUUGGCGGGGUAACGGCCCACCAAAGCGACGAUCGAUAGCCGAUCUGAGAGGAAGGCCGGCCACAUUGGGACUGGGGCACGGCCCCAACUCCUACGGGAGGCAGGAGUGGGGGAUAUUGCACAAUGGGGGAAACCCUGAUGCAGCGACGCCGCGUGAGUGAAGAAGUAUUUCGGUAUGUAAAGCUCUAUCAGCAGGGAAGAAAAUGACAGUACCUGAGUAAGAAGCCCCGGCUAACUACGUG
rnacentral:rRNA from 1 species